UGAACGCUAGCGGCAGGCCUAACACAUGCAAGUCGAACGGUAACAUGAGAGCUUGCUCUUGAUGACGAGUGGCGCACGGGUGAGUAACGCGUAUACAAUCUACCUUUUACAGGGGGAUAGCCCAGAGAAAUUUGGAUUAAUACCCCAUGGUAUUUGGGACCGGCAUCGGUUCCAAAUUAAAGCUUCGGUGGUAAGAGAUGAGUAUGCGUUCUAUUAGCUAGUAGGUAAGGUAACGGCUUACCUAGGCAACGAUAGAUAGGGGCCCUGAGAGGGGGACCCCCCACACUGGUACUGAGACACGGACCAGACUCCUACGGGAGGCAGCAGUGAGGAAUAUUGGACAAUGGGCGCAAGCCUGAUCCAGCCAUGCCGCGUGCAGGAAGACUGCCCUAUGGGUUGUAAACUGCUUUUAUACAGGAAGAAACAGCUCUACGUGUAGAGCCUUGACGGUACUGUAAGAAUAAGGAUCGGCUAACUCC
rnacentral:rRNA from 1 species